rnacentral:rRNA from 1 species
CAGCUCCAAUAGCGUAUAUUAAAAUUGUUGCAGUUAAAAAGCUCGUAGUUGAAUUUCUGCUGCAUCCGUGUCAUUCCUAACUGGUUUGUCACUGUUGUGGCUUUUUCUGGUGGUUGUGCUUCGGCUARAUCUCCAGAUUGUUACUUUGAGAAAAUUAGAGUGCUUCAAGCAGGCUUUUGCCUUGAAUACUUUAGCAUGGAAUAACUAAGUAGGACUUUGGUUCUAUUUUGUUGGUUUAAGAGCCAAAGUAAUGAUUAAUAGGAACAGUUGGGGGCAUUCGUAUUUAACUGUCAGAGGUGAAAUUCUU